rnacentral:rRNA from 1 species
AGCGAACGCUGGCGGCAGGCCUAACACAUGCAAGUCGGACGAAGUCUUCGGACUUAGUGGCGGACGGGUGAGUAACACGUGGGAACGUACCUUUUGGUUCGGAACAACUCAGGGAAACUUGAGCUAAUACCGGAUGAGCCCUUAGGGGGAAAGAUUUAUCGCCGAAAGAGCGGCCCGCGUUAGAUUAGCUAGUUGGUGAGGUAAAGGCUCACCAAGGCUACGAUCUAUAGCUGGUCUGAGAGGAUGAUCAGCCACACUGGGACUGAGACACGGCCCAGACUCCUACGGGAGGCAGCAGUGGGGAAUCUUGCGUAAUGGGCGAAAGCCUGACGCAGCCAUGCCGCGUGAAUGAUGAAGGUCUUAGGAUUGUAAAAUUCUUUUACCAGGGACGAUAAUGACGGUACCUGGAGAAAAAGCCCCGGCUAACUUCGUGCCAGCAGCCGCGGUAACAC